GGUUGCAUGGUGUAGUGGUUAUCACGUUCGCUUUACAGUUUCUUGAACGCGAAAGGUCGCCAGUUCAAACCUGGCUGCAAUCA